GACGAACGCUGGCGGCGUGCUUAACACAUGCAAGUCGAACGGAAAGGCCCUGCUUUUGUGGGGUGCUCGAGUGGCGAACGGGUGAGUAACACGUGAGUAACCUGCCCUUGACUUUGGGAUAACUUCAGGAAACUGGGGCUAAUACCGGAUAGGAGCUCCUGCUGCAUGGUGGGGGUUGGAAAGUUUCGGCGGUUGGGGAUGGACUCGCGGCUUAUCAGCUUGUUGGUGGGGUAGUGGCUUACCAAGGCUUUGACGGGUAGCCGGCCUGAGAGGGUGACCGGCCACAUUGGGACGGAGAUACGGCCCAGACCCCUACGGGGGGGAGGAGGGGGGAAUAUGGCACAAGGGGCGGAAGCCUGAUGCAGCAACGCCGGGGGCGGGAUGACGGCCUUGGGGUUGUAAACCGCUUUCGCCUGGGACGAAGGGGGGGUGGGGGGAAUGGGUAAAGGAGCACCGGCUAAUUAAGU
rnacentral:rRNA from 1 species